GAUUUGACCUAUAAAACCAAAAUCGUUAAUGAAAUGAGACAAAUAACCAAGAAGGCAAAAUGCACGUUGAAGGGUUAAUACGAGUUAAUACUCUAAGGAACCUUUUGAGUGAACAGAAACAAGGGAUAUACAUUUGAUAGUGGAGUAUGUUGGAUUAGCAGAAAUUUUGUAGUGCUUGAAAGGAAAUAUAAAAUGUACGAUGGAAAUUGACAAGGAAAUCUCAUAUGCCCAAAAUUACUCUUAACUAGUUAAUCAUUGACAUAGACUAAAAUUCAAUUACUCUAGUAUGGGCAUAAAAUUCUUCUAGCAUGGACUUGGUAACUAAAAUAGAAAAUGAACCAACAUGCUCCAGUGGUCAAUCUCAACAAGUAGUUUAUUCUUUCUUUUAUCAACCCUGAAUUCCCUGCUUCAAUUAUUGUCAUUUUUUUGUUACUUGGUAGAAAGCUGUGAAGGAGUCUCUUGUACUAAUUCAUUUCAAGUUAAUUAAGUAUUGAAAUGUUAUUUGUUCCGCAAACAUCUCAUGUAUAUGAAAGGCAUCUUCUUUCUUUGAACAGAUUCAGUAUCAUUCAU
rnacentral:misc_RNA from 1 species